AUUGAACGCUGGCGGCAUGCCUUACACAUGCAAGUCGAACGGCAGCACGGGAGCAAUCCUGGUGGCGAGUGGCGAACGGGUGAGUAAUAUAUCGGAACGUGCCCAGUCGUGGGGGAUAACGCAGCGAAAGCUGUGCUAAUACCGCAUACGAUCUAAGGAUGAAAGCGGGGGAUCGCAAGACCUCGCGCGAUUGGAGCGGCCGAUAUCAGAUUAGCUAGUUGGUGGGGUAAAGGCCCACCAAGGCGACGAUCUGUAGCUGGUCUGAGAGGACGACCAGCCACACUGGAGCUGAGACACGGUCCGGACUCCUACGGGAGGCAGCAGUGGGGAAUUUUGGACAAGGGGCGCAAGCCUGAUCCAGCAAUGCCGCGUGCAGGAUGAAGGCCUUCGGGUUGUAAACUGCUUUUGUACGGAACGAAACGGCCCUUUCUAAUACAGGGGGCUAAUGACGGUACCGUAAGAAUAAGCACCGGCUAACUACGUGCCAGCCGCCGCGGUAAAAC
rnacentral:rRNA from 1 species